rnacentral:rRNA from 1 species
UGGGGAAUUUUGCACAAUGGGCGCAAGCCUGAUGCAGCGACGCCGCGUGAGGGAUGAAGGCCUUCGGGUUGUAAACCUUUUUCGCUCAUGGUCAAGCCGCAGCUUUGGGUUGUGGUGAGGGUAGUGGGUAAAGAAGCGCCGGCUAACUACGUGCCAGCAGCCGCGGUAAUACGUAGGGCGCGAGCGUUGUCCGGAAUUAUUGGGCGUAAAGGGCUUGUAGGCGGUUGGCCGCGUCUGCCGUGAAAUCCUCUGGCUUAACUGGGGGCGUGCGGUGGGUACGGGUUGACUUGAGUGCGGUAGGGGAGACUGGAAUUCCUGGUGUAGCGGUGGAAUGCGCAGAUAUCAGGAGGAACACCGGUGGCGAAGGCGGGUCUCUGGGCCGUUACUGACGCUGAAGCUCGAAGGUGCGGGUAUCGAACAGG